UAUGCGGUGAGAAAUUAGCAAACAACAGAAAAUGCAACGUUGGAAGACAUUUUCAAAACUGAAAAGCACCCAACUGCAAAUGGGUGCAGGAAAACGAUUUCGGAACUACUACGGAAGUUUGAGCAGAGCCAACAUACUUUGAAAAAGUGAGCUACCUCUUCCUGUGUAGCCUGAGGAUGGAAGACCUUGUCCAGCUCAAAGGUCCUGAAAGUGUUCUGCCGAGCAGUUUGCAGCGGCCUUCACGGCCUCCUCCUUCCUUUCCUCCAAGUGGCCGAUCUCCUUCAGCAACUCCUCCCUCAGCUGGCCGAUCUCUCGCUCAUAAGCUGCUAUCUGCAUCAAAAGAAUGAUCAAAUAAUAUUGCAGCUGUAUUCAUCCGAUUUCCUGAUUUGCUCCUCCAACUGUUUGCACCGCUCGUUCUGAUUGGUCAGCUUCUCGGACAGCAGCUCGUUCCUCUGUCUGGCUUUGGUGAGCUGCUUGAGAGUGGCGGGAGAUUCCACCUCGACGGUCUGGGUGACAUACUGGAAGAAGGAAUAAGGAGGCUACCAAGAAUUUGGACUAAGUAAAAUAAUAACUAACCCAUCCUGAUUGAGCCUUUUUUUAUCGAUUGAUUAUAAUCCCAGAUAACUUGCACUGCUAUUAAGGGUUGUUGCAGCUUCUAACAUGUGAAGGUGAGCAAAACAAGCACUCUCUCGGGGAUGUCUAUGGAGGUUUUUGUUUUGUGACAAAUUAAAUAAUGUACAUACAAAGCCAAAUAAAUUGAUAAUUUAAAUAUGAAAUAAUGAAUUAAAAUGUCUAAUAAUUUAUAAAUUUAACAAUUUUUAUUAUAGCUUACUUCAUUUUUUUAAACUUUAUUUUUGUAAUAUUUUAGGACAAACAAAGUGAGAGGAAAUAGUUAAAAAAUAAGUAAAAAAUAAUUUUAAAAAAAUACACAGAGAGGGUGAUAGGUACAUUUCAAGUCUUAUCAACAUCAUCAAUGUCCACAGAUUGCAUAUCAGUCCCAUCUUUUCCAGUAUU